AGAGUUUGAUCCUGGCUCAGGAUGAACGCUAGCGGCAGGCUUAACACAUGCAAGUCGAGGGGUAACGGGGAAGCUUGCUUCCGCCGACGACCGGCGCACGGGUGCGUAACGCGUAUACAAUCUACCUUGUACUGGGGUAUAGCCUUUAGAAAUGAAGAUUAACCCCCCAUAGUCUCUUAGAGUGGCAUCACUUCUAGAGUAAAGGUUACGGUAUAAGAUGAGUAUGCGUUCUAUUAGUUUGUUGGUGUGGUAACGGCACACCAAGACUACGAUAGAUAGGGGCCCUGAGAGGGGGAUCCCCCACACUGGUACUGAGACACGGACCAGACUCCUACGGGAGGCAGCAGUGAGGAAUAUUGGACAAUGGAGGCAACUCUGAUCCAGCCAUGCCGCGUGCAGGAAGACUGCCCUAUGGGUUGUAAACUGCUUUUAUACAGGAAGAAACACCUCUACGUGUAGAGGCUUGACGGUACUGUAAGAAUAAGGAUCGGCUAACUCCGUGCCAGCAGCCGCGGUAAUACGGAGGAUCCAAGCGUUAUCCCGGAAUUCCAUUUGGGUUUAAAGGGGUCCGUAGGGUGGAUAAUUAAAGUCAGAGGUGAAAUCUUGCAGGCUCAACUGUAAAAAUUGCCUUUUGAAACUGGUUAUUCUUGAGUUAUUAUGAAGUAGUUAGAAUAUGUAGUGUAGCGGUGAAAUGCAUAGAUAUUACAUAGAAUACCAAUUGCGAAGGCAGAUUACUAAUAAUCAACUGACACUGAUGGACGAAAGCGUGGGUAGCGAACAGGAUUAGAUACCCUGGUAGUCCACGCCGUAAACGAUGGUUACUAGCUGUUUUGGACUUCGGUCUGAGUGGCUAAGCGAAAGUGAUAAGUAACCCCACCUGGGGAGUACGUUCGCAAGAAUGAAACUCAAAGGAAUUGACGGGGGCCCGCACAAGCCGGUGGAGCAUGUGGUUUAAUUCGAUGAUACGCGAGGAACCUUACCAGGGCUUAAAUGUAAGUUGCAUUUAGUUAGAGAUAGCUAUUUCUUCGGACCACUUACAAGGUGCUGCAUGGUUGUCGUCAGCUCGUGCCGUGAGGUGUCAGGUUAAGUCCUAUAACGAGCGCAACCCCUGUUGUUAGUUGCCAGCGAGUCAUGUCGGGAACUCUAGCAAGACUGCCAGUGCAAACUGUGAGGAAGGUGGGGAUGACGUCAAAUCAUCACGGCCCUUACGUCCUGGGCUACACACGUGCUACAAUGGUAGGUACAGAGAGCAGCCACUGCGCGAGCAGGAGCGAAUCUACAAAACCUAUCACAGUUCGGAUCGGAGUCUGCAACUCGACUCCGUGAAGCUGGAAUCGCUAGUAAUCGGAUAUCAGCCAUGAUCCGGUGAAUACGUUCCCGGGCCUUGUACACACCGCCCGUCAAGCCAUGGAAGUUGGAAGUGCCUGAAGUCCGUCACCGUAA
rnacentral:rRNA from 1 species